AACGUCUACACUGCUUCAACAUGAGAGAAGAGUCUCGCCCUCAGCUAUAACAGCCUCGUCCCUAUUUAUGUCCAUGUGUUACUGUAGAUGUGGAAAAAACAGAGCCGCUUCACACUUUGACUUCACGCUUUUAUUUGUAAAAUUUCCUCCGUGCAACACAUGGCUGAAUUCAGUGAAACGAAGUUUUAAUGCCAAUGGAGUGCCUUUCGUCACCAAAACUUUUGUAAAGAGAAUUUACAUUCCCUUACCUGAAGCCCCUGCAAGAACAGAAGUAUUAAAUUCAUUUUGGAAAUACCUUUGAUGCUCUGAUGCAGCCUGUAAGGAAACUCGUGACUGCCACACACCUACAUACCUUAGACGAGUGCCAGGUCUAGCCCGAGACGACCCAAAUGUAAAAGUGAAUGACCUUUUGACCCCUUGUUGUCCUGGAUCCCCCGGGGCCUUAGAGAUGAUCUUGGCAGAUGUCGAUGAAAAAACAUUUCUGGAACCUUUGAUAUUUAUGUCUGAUAUUUUGAAGUCAUGAACGACGUCUAAACCUACAGUGACUAAAGCAGAAUUAAAGAAAUUUGAAGAAUUCUGUGAUUAUGGGAAAAGAGAUCCAAGAUAAAGCCUAGUGUUUUCGAUUCCUUUGGUGCAAAAAAGCUAAAUGGCAACAGGAGACUAAUCUGAUCUACAAUACUGGACUGUCUGUACACAAAAUAUCUUAUUUAGUGUAGAGAGCUGAAUUGCUUAUGACUUGGAUAUUUUUUAUAGACCCCAUAAUACCAUGUUUGUCAUUGAGCUGGACUAAUAAUGCUGUGACAAAAAAGAAUACAUGAAAUACAUGUGAUAUUUUGAAUAUUCUUGUUUAAAAUUUUCAUUCUUACUUCUGAGAGUCUUCUUCAUUUGAUCCUAUCCAUUCUGUUGAUCAUGAAUGGCUCAUAUUGCUUUUGUUUGACUGUACAUAGAACAUAGGAAUCACAGUUUUAAAGGAUUGGUGCAGAAGCUGUAUGUUGCAUUACAAGCCUAAUGGUAUAUGAAUGUUCCCUUUUACAUUUACCACUAUAAGUAUGGUAUUGUGCUGAAAUGAUGUAAUAAACAU